GCCAGGCGUGGUGACUCACGCCUGUAAUCCUAGCACUUUGGGAGGCUGAGGUGGGCGGAUCACCUGAGGUCAGGAGUUUGAGACCAGCCUGGCCAACAUGGUGAAACCCCGUCUCUA
ensembl:misc_RNA Metazoa_SRP Metazoan signal recognition particle RNA